rnacentral:rRNA from 1 species
AAGUCGUAACAAGGUCUCCGUUGGUGAACCAGCGGAGGGAUCAUUACUGAGCGUAAAAACUCCAAACCCACUGUGAACCUACCUAAAACGUUGCCUCGGCGCGCUCCCCAGGGACCGCGCCGGGGGACCCGAACUCUUGUUUCCAGCAGAGGAUCUUCUGAGUGGCUUAAAGCAAAAAUAAGUUAAAACUUUCAACAACGGAUCUCUUGGCUCUGGCAUCGAUGAAGAACGCAGCAAAAUGCGAUAAGUAAUGUGAAUUGCAGAAUUCCGUGAAUCAUCGAAUCUUUGAACGCACAUUGCGCCCGCCAGCACUCUGGCGGGCAUGCCUGUUCGAGCGUCAUUUCAACCCUCGGACCCCUUAGGCCUCGCGCCCCAGGGGACCGGUGUUGGGGCUCGGGCGCUCCCAUCGGGCGCCCGUCCCCUAAAUCCAGUGGCGGUCGCGACCCGGCAGCCCCGCGUAGUAGCACACCUCGCGGGACGCGCCGGCCGUGGCCACGCCGUAAAACCACCCACUUUCAAAGGUUGACCUCGGAUCAGGUAGGAAUACCCGCUGAACUUAA